UGGGGAAUAUUGGACAAUGGGCGGAAGCCUGAUCUAGCAACGCCGCGUGAGGGAUGACGGCCUUCGGGUUGUAAACCUCUUUCAGUACCGACGAAGCGAAAGUGACGGUAGGUACAGAAGAAGGACCGGCCAACUACGUGCCAGCAGCCGCGGUAAUACGUAGGGUCCGAGCGUUGUCCGGAAUUAUUGGGCGUAAAGGGCUCGUAGGCGGUUUGUCGCGUCGGGAGUGAAAACCAUGGGCUUAACUCAUGGCUUGCUUUCGAUACGGGCAGACUAGAGGUAUGCAGGGGAGAAUGGAAUUCCUGGUGUAGCGGUGAAAUGCGCAGAUAUCAGGAGGAACACCGGUGGCGAAGGCGGUUCUCUGGGCAUUACCUGACGCUGAGGAGCGAAAGUGUGGGGAGCGAACAGG
rnacentral:rRNA from 1 species